rnacentral:snRNA from 1 species
CGAUGUGAGGGCCAUCUGCCUGUGACACCCAUCACCACACUGAUCUCCAGCCUUGAGUCAGCCCAUGUGCCUGCCCAAGCCCAGGUCCCCUUCCUCACCCAGCGCUCCAUAUGCAUCCCUCCCAAAGCUGCUGGGGCACGGAGGACGACCUCCCCGAUACAGACAGUACAUUUUAUCACUCAAGGCUAUUUUGCAGCUUUGCUCUCUGCUACAACCUCAUAACCAGCCCAAGCUCCAUUCCUAGGAGGGCAUUCCUGGUAGUCAUAAAUAAAAUUUUGCACAAAACAGGACUG